rnacentral:rRNA from 1 species
GCCACGACCGGUUCGUCGGCGGCGAGAAACUCCCGGGCAAGGUGACCUUCGUCUCGGCGCAAGAGCAUACAGGCCCGGUGAGCGUCGGCCCGUCGGUGGACCGAGGAAGACCGUCGCGGAGCGGCGUCGACCGUUCGUCGUGUGUUGGCGUUCGACUCGGGGGGACUGGUUCCAGUGCCCUCGGACCGCGCCGGCGCAGCGGCGGGCGCGCACGGCGUCGCGCCUGGGGUCGGUGGCGAAACGGCCGGCAACCUGUCCGACCCGUCUUGAAACACGGACCAAGGAGUCUAACAUGUGCGCGAGUCGUUGGGCGCUACGAAACCCGAAGGCGCAAUGAAAGUGAAGGCCCGGUCUCCGGCCGGCCUGGGUGGGAUCCCGGCGGCCUCGGCCGUCGGGCGCACCACCGGCCCGUCUCGUUCGUUACGUCGAGGAGGCGGAGCAAGAGCGUACACGUUGGGACCCGAAAGAUGGUGAACUAUGCCCGAGUAGGACGAAGCCAGAGGAAACUCUGGUGGAGGUCCGCAGCGAUUCUGACGUGCAAAUCGAUCGUCAAACUUGGGUAUAGGGGCGAAAGACUAAUCGAACCAUCUAGUAGCUGGUUCCUGUCGAAGUUUCCCUCAGGAUAGCUGGCGCUCGUCGUGAGCAGUUUUAUCCGGUAAAGCGAAUGACUGGAGGCCUUGGG